ensembl:lncRNA
GUUACAUGGAUGGAUGGAUCUUAACUUCUGGAAGCAGGUACUGGCAGGCCUGGCUGUGUGGACAAGAAAGGACCUUUCCCUCAACAAAUUACUUGGCAAGAGGAACUUUGUAGAUAUGAUUGAGUUAAGGAUCUGAAAAUCCGAAGAUUAUCCUGGAUUAUCCAGCAGGCUUGAGCAGCCCUAGGAGACUCAUGCAUGGUCACGGGCCAUCCCUUCUUCACAAAAAUAUGGCAGGUGGCAGUCUUUCAGAAGACAGCAAGGAUGCGCUGGCAUAGGCUGUCCUGUAUCCCAGAUUCCCGGAGGUGAGGGAAUUGAGGCCCAGAGAGGUUAAGAAACUUGCUGAUGGUCACCCAGCAGUUCCUCUGCUCCUGCUUGGAUUCCUCCACUGCCCGGGCCGCAGAGAGCCCCCGGGGUCCCCACCCUGCUCCUGCCACCCCCUCCAAGUAGCUUCGGAAGACUCCAGCUUGGACUUCCUCAAUCCCAGAUCCUUGCACAGAACUCAGUCACUGUUCAGUGCACAUUCCAGCCAGCAAGUGACCUUGAGCAAGCCUCCUCCUUGGACCUCCGGGUUUCAUCUGCAGAAUGGAGCUGAUAAUAACAACUCCCCUCUGGAAGCCAAGAGACCGGGCCUCAGAACCUCUUAAGAAAAUUAAGAAGAGCCGGUGUACACUGACCGCCUACAUGAGAAGAUGCUGUUGCAAUUUUAGCCAUCACCGUUUCGACUGUCCUCGUUUGACCAGUGAGAAAACUGAGGCCCAGAGAGGUGAAGUCACCGACCAAGGACGCACAGCAAGGUA